rnacentral:rRNA from 1 species
AUGUUGCGUGAGAGGUGUGGUCUAGUUGAUAGUGUGUAUGUGGCUGUAGAAGAAAAGGUUGCCAUGUUCUUGUUAGUAGUGGGUCAUGGUCUGAAAAUGAGGUUGCUUCGAGGCACAUACAAGCGGUCUUUGGGAACUAUAAGUACUCACUUUUCUGAAGUGUUAAGAGCCAUUCUAUCUAUGCAUGGAGAGUUCAUUAAGCUUCCGGAUGCUAAUGUUCAACCUCCCCAUGAUUACAAAUGGAAGUGGUUUGCUGGUGCACUAGGAGCAUUAGAUGGCUGUCAUGUAGAUGUUUCCGUUCCCGUGCCUUCCCAAGGGAGGUACAGGAAUAGGAAGCAAGCUGUCAGUACAAACAUGCUCGGUGUGGUGGACUGGAAUAUGAAAUUUCUGUAUGUCUUACCUGGCUGGGAAGGUUCCGCUUCAGACUCUAGAGUCCUACGCGACUCCAUGAGAACUAAUCGCCAAGAUGCACUUGUUGUACCUAAUGGUAUGGCUUUUUCUCUUGGCAUCUUGUUCUCUUUUCACAUGCUACAACCAACCUAA